GGAAUAUUUUGCUCCAGUUACAGGACUGAUUGCUCUGGAGAAGUUUAAGUCUAGGUUCCUACUUCAACAGUACUGUGUGCAAGCUGAUUGCUAUUGGCACAGUGAAGUUGGAUCCCAUGCUGCAGUCUCAAGUGUUACUUAUUUUGCAGAAUUAUUAAUGUCAUUAGUAAUGUAAUUAAUGCAACAUGUGAAUAAUGGUUCGUUUUAGAUUCAGUUCUGCUGCCUCAUACACAUGGAUGGUGACAAAGUGAAACAAGCAAUCUAGUUGGGGAGAGCUGCAGCUUUGGUAUUAAAGAGUUAUGUUGAAACGGAUUGGUCAAGUGCCUGAAUCAGAUUGCCAUCUGGAACAUAAGCAAGCAGUGUCCAGAUUUCACCAUGGUGACAGCUUCUCCAUCUAGGGGCAGUGAGGCCUGGUCAGUAAAGUAGAUGACCUGGUUCUGAGCCUGCCAAUGUCUGCUGUGGUUCUGCUGAAGUUUGGUUUCACAAAGACAAAAAGGUACCACUUCUUUCUCCUUAAGGAAAAAGAACGGAAACAAGAGUUGCGUCAAACACUGGGCGAAAAGACUACCAAGAAAAAAAACAGUCAUUUUAUGAGCCAUGAACUGCCCUGAAGACUUUGUUUCACAUUGAAGAAAGGACUCCAUUCAUAAGAGAACCACUUGCAUCUUCUCCCACUUUCCUUAACAAGAAACAGGAACCUGUUAAAUUUAAAGAUUGUGAAAGUUACAGAUGUGCAUACAUCCUAAAAUGUUUAUGAGUAAUUAUAUGACAAGCAGUCAUCAAAUAGUUUCAUUGUAGGCCAGAUGAUAGUCAUCUGCGGUAAGCCACCAAAAAGACAAAAAGGGAAGUGGGUAAGGAGAGCUGUUAGCAUUCUUUAAAGCAUUUAGCUAAAUGAAUAGACAAACUGGAAAAAGACAGUUUAAUUUUUAUCAUUAUGUUGUCCCACAUGUAAUGCAUAUGUACAUUCUUUUGAUU
rnacentral:lncRNA from 1 species